CUUUAUGACAUGUGACCAGCUGCCUCAUGCUCCUGCUGACCUGCUUUUCCUACCACAGUGGGCUCUAUACUGUUGAACUAUAAAGCAAAAUCAACCCUUUCUCCCAAAAACAAACCCACAAAACCCCACUCAGGAUUAUUCUUCCAGUGUUUGAAAAUCCUUACUGAUUGAGCAAAGAAUCCACUCAUGUCAUUGUCCAACAGCUCAAGUUCUGACUCACAGUCUUGUUUCACUUUUGCCUUGUCCAUUUACAUAAACUGUGUUGUCACCAAGGACUCACAUUGAAGCUACGCCCAGGUCCCCUAUGACUAUAGACUGAGUGCAGAGGAAGGAUGCAGCAAAAAUGAACCAGAGCACUGUCAUGACCCCAGCUGUGUAGACUGUCCUAUAUGCACCGCACACCGCUAUCAGAAAAGGGUGUGACACAUAUGCCACUCUGCCACCCGUGAUACUUGAACUAAGUUUUCUUCAAGACAUAUUCCAAUGGCCUUCAUACCAGCACUGAAAAUGAUACUGAGGGGAGCCUGCCCUGUGGAUUUCUGUGGGUUUUCUCCGUGUAGCCCUACCUGUCCUGGAACAAGUUCUGUAGGCAGGCUGGCCUAGAACUCACAGAGAUCUGCCUGCCUCUGCCUCCUGAGUGCUGGGAACAAAAGAUGUGCACCACCACCACCACCACCACCACCACCACCGGGCUGGCACACUCUGAAGGACAGUUCUCUGUGGCCGAGGACAAUUCCUAUUUUAAAGUCAGGUGUACAUAGCCAACUGUGGGUUUCCCCACUGUUUAUCCACCCUCCUGAGAAGGUUUUGCUAAUUUAUAAUAUUAGAUCUACUUCAAAAACUUGUCUUCAUUUUGUCUGAUGCAUCGAAUCAUUUUGUGUGGUGCUUGUUAACAUCCUAUAGUGUUAGUUAGCAUGCAGGAACACUUGCCUGAAGAAGAAGGCAAGAGCCCAUCCUAAGGGGCUGAGUGCUUGCUAAGCACUCUUUCCUUGGGCUGUAGGGUAGAGAAGCUGUUCAGCUGUGAGCACACUUUAGUGAAAACACUUGGGAGAGGGAUGGGGGUUGAUUUGGUGUGGUAGCCAUGGCAUCAGCAAGUCUAUUUAAGAAUCUGUCUUGUCUUCCUCAAGGAUGAUGAUGUGAGCUGGGUACCAGUCGCAGAAGGGAGAUGCAGAUCAGAAGAAUGUGUAAGAGAGGACCAAAACAUCUGAGGCAGAUGAGGAGGUACAGGAAACGCUUGCUACACUGUCACUGGAUGCAUGAGAUACAGGGAGAGCUACAGUCCAGCCAGGAAGAUGACCAAUAACAUGCUCGCCUGGACUUUAGAUUUGGAUUUGGUGGAGAGCUGAUCCCACGUUUUAGAAGCAUUGUCACAACUUCAUCUACCUGAUGGAUUCUUACUGCAUGUGAGUAUCAAGGAAUGGAGAACACUGAGCGGGGAGACUCAGGGGAUCCCUAAAGAAAUCAAAACAAGUCGUCUUUGGAACAAUCUACUUCACUCUAAAUUCCUUUGGAUUCCUGCAAUUGAACUGAGUCUAGCAUAAAGUUAUGGCCAAGUGCAAAGCAGAUGUAAGUGAGAGUCAAGGGGCAGCAAGAAGCAAGAUGAUGCCUAAGAAGUCAGGUGCUGGAGUUCCCAUAAGAAUUUGUAGGAGAUAACAUACAGCAGGAAAUGGCGUUUUCAGAGGGAACCAAUCAUGUUAUGCCCACCACUCUCCUGUGUACCUUCAAUUCACUCUCGACUGUGCUAGAGUCUGGCUUCUAUCAAUACUGUGCUGAGGACAUAUUCAUUGCCAAGAUUAUCAGAGUUCAUCUAGCCAUCCUCACCUACCAGGUCCUCCAAACACUGUCUUUUUUCAUGUACUUGCCUACAAGCACUGCAUCUCAAACAGCCUGUGUAAAACGGAACUCUCAUCUGCAACUCCUACCACUUCCCAUAACUUGUUCCUUCCUGCCUUUCAUCACUUAAGCCUAAAGUUCUUGAGAGAGCUUGACUUCAGGUAGAAUAUAACUUAGUUAACACUUCUUCGAACUCUGAGGGUGUACAAUGAUGAGGUUUUGGGGAGUUUUAGAAAAUACACCUUAAGGGCUGGAGAGAUGGCUCAGCGGCUAAGAGCACCCGACUACUCUUCCAGAGGUC
rnacentral:sRNA from 1 species